rnacentral:rRNA from 1 species
UACGUAGGGGGCUAGCGUUGUCCGGAAUCAUUGGGCGUAAAGCGCGUGUAGGCGGUCCGGUAAGUCCGCUGUGAAAGUCGAGGGCUCAACCCUCGAAUGCCGGUGGAUACUGUCGGGCUUGAGUACGGGAGAGGCGAGUGGAAUUCCUGGUGUAGCGGUGAAAUGCGCAGAUAUCAGGAGGAACACCGGUGGCGAAGGCGGGUCUCUGGGCCGAUACUGACACUGAGAAGCGAAAGCGUGGGGAGCGAACAGG